GAGUGAAGGACAGGCUCUGCAGUGGCUGGUAGAGAAAUGUGGGAACAGAUAUCAUGUAUUUAAUAAUAAAAAGAGAGACAAUGUCUCUCAGGUCUCAGAGCUGAUGGAGAAGAUUGAUGAGAUGCUGGCAGGAAACAGUGGCUGCCAUUUGGAAAUAGACAGAGAUAUUGCAAAAUGUGGAGGAGCAGAAAAAAGCAGAGGAAGAGAGGUCAAAAGAGAGGUUGAUGAAGGUGUCAAAGAAAAGAGAAGACAUUAGAAAACACGUCAAUACACCGUCUGUCAGAGGUGAGGAUUGUGCUGCUGAGCUACUGAUCAUUCAGAGAGUUCCUUUGAUCAGAGAACUCAAACUGACGGCUGUCCUCAUGCUGAAACUUGCUGCCCUGAGCUGGGAUCUCCUGCCUCUCCUCCAUCUCCUGUUUAACAUCUUCUCCUUCUGAUUCUGGGGAUGCAGAUUAUUGUAGAGGAUUUUUUUUAUUGUUUUAUUAAAAGGGAUUGGGGUUUGUAGUUCAGAAUAUUAUUAUAUUAUUCAGAAUGUUCACUAUCUUAUUAUUAUUCUUUCGAACAGUAAAUAAAUAAAAAUAAACAUUUUUGCCUUCUUUAGUAGCAUGUCUGUAUAAAUCAAAAUUAAUAACAAAAUAAAAAGUAAAGGCUGAAAAAACUUUAACAGGUGAUCAUUUUAGGAUCAGUUUUUUAUGGUACAAGGAUCUAGUUAGAACAUAUGAUACACAUGGUCUUAGAGUACUAAUGCUGACAAGUUGGUUGUGGUCAUUAUUGCCCUAAUGCCCACUGGGAGGCGGGACAUCUCACGGGACAUCCCAAGACAAAAUGAAAGAAGUGUACAAAUAUCUCGACUCAGCAGUACGAGCUGCAAAAGCUGAAUUCUAUCAAAUUUUACGAGAGAAACGCCCGGCCCAGCAAGUUAUUUUGUUGGCCGUGCUUACUUUUUAACGAGUAAAGGGACAUGGAAUAAUUCUGGCUUUGACAGUCUGAACAGUGUCACGAAGGCAGCUCUUAAACACCAAGUCUCCGAGCGCCAUAUAAUGUCAGUCGUGCAUUUAAAAACUUUGGUGAAUGUCGUGUGGAUUUGCAACUUGACGAGCAGAGAAAACGGGAGAUCGGCAUCCAUAAUGAGAGGGUCAGAAAGAGAUUUAGAGGGGUAAUUACUAGGAAUUGUUAACACUAUUAGCUGAGCAUGAUGCUGACUUGCGACAUUUACAUUUACAGCAUUUGGCACACGCCCUUAUCCAGAGCGACGUACAUAAGUGCUUAAAUCUCUAGCAUUGAAUACAUUAAUGCUGGUUCACUAAG